rnacentral:rRNA from 1 species
GACGAACGCUGGCGGCGUGCUUAACACAUGCAAGUCGAGCGGUAAGGCCCUUUCGGGGGUACACGAGCGGCGAACGGGUGAGUAACACGUGGGUGACCUGCCCUCAGCUCUGGGAUAAGCCUGGGAAACUGGGUCUAAUACCGGAUAUGACUCCAUGACGCAUGUUGUGGGGUGGAAAGCCUUGUGCGGCUGAGGAUGGGCCCGCGGCCUAUCAGCUUGUUGGUGGGGGAUGACCUACCAAGGCGACGACGGGUAGCCGGCCUGAGAGGGCGACCGGCCACACUGGGACUGAGACACGGCCCAGACUCCUACGGGAGGCAGCAGUGGGGAAUCUUGCGCAAUGGGCGAAAGCCUGACGCAGCGACGCCGCGUGAGGGAUGACGGCCUGG